AUGAAACUUAUCAGCUGGAACUGCCGGGGGCUCGGGAACGGCCCGGCAGUUUGUUCGCUCCUCGAAUUGGGGAGAGUGGAGGAUCCCGAUGUGCUCUUUUUGGCGGAGACAAGACUUACGGAAAAGGAAUUGGACAGGUUUCGGUGGACACUCGGGUUGACGAACAUGACAGCUUGGAAUCCGGUGGGUAGAAGCCGUGGUGUGGCAUUGUUUUGUAAGAGAGGGAUGGAU
rnacentral:rRNA from 1 species